CCCUGCCCAGCCAGCAGUAAUGCAAGCUGCCCUGGGGCUUCGUGCCUGGCUGGGUGCCCAUUGGGCUGCUCCCCUUAAGAUCUGAGAUUGGCACCUGCUGGCUGAGGAUGACAAGUCCCUGCCACCUUCCCCAUCUACCUGGCUGCUGCAGGUGAGUUGGAAGGGAGCCCAGGGUGAGGCAAAGGCUCCUCGUCUCCAGUGCACACCUCUCCCCGCCACUCCCUGCCCAUCCCCGCUUCUUCCCCAACACCCCCCCCACCCCGCCAGCAGCUCCAGCAGCCAGCACACUUCCACUUGGCCCUUCCCUCUACCCAUCUCUCUGUGUUUCUUUAGGCAUCAGACGGCUCCGAGCCUCACUCUCCCCAGCUGCAGAACGGGGUGAUUUCGGCUUCUCCCACGGGGCUGCUGUGGGGCUCCAGUUAGACCACCACCACCGUGCCCGGCCAUGUGACUCAUAGCGCCGUCUGAAGGAUUCUUCAUCCUGGGCGACUCGGAAUCACCAUGCCUCCUGGGUUUGCUCUUCUUGCUACAAAAGGCUCCCCAGGCCUUCGCCCCAGCUCUGGAGACGCUCCUCAGCCUGGUUCAUUUGGAGCGAGCCCGGCCCCUCUGUGUUGGGAAACAGGGGUCCCUUCCAGCCUCCGGCCCUGGGCAGAGGGAGGAGGAGGCCUCGGGAUGCAGAGGCAGGAGGGCGUGGAUUAGAAACCCAUCACAGAAAUGACUUUCUUAUCACGCUACGACCUGAAUUGACAGAACCAACUCUCGAAAUUGAAUUGUCUCCCCCCUCGGCUGCCUCAGCUCCUAGUUCCUUCCCCACUGCCACCUCCACCUCUGAAAGCCCUGCUGGGAGAGACCAAGAGACAGAGAUGCAGGAGAGAAGCAAAGAUGACUCAACUGAGGCACAGAGGCGUUCAGGAACCUACUCAGCAUCUGGACAGUACCCACGAUGAACAUUCCAGGUUUGUCACAUGCGGGGAGUCCCAAUGGUAAAAGCCCGUCUACACCCAAAUCAACCUGGGGUGGGGGUGGGAGGUGGAACCUGUGCCCAUUUUGCAGGUGGGGAAACGGAGGCCUAGCCCACAGAUGCCUUUAGCUUUAGGAUUAGAAUUAAGGCACUCCCAGGAUUCGGGGCUGGCGUUUUCAGAUGGUGUCCUGGGUGCCAGUGUCUAAGUCUGAGAUGGGGCAGUAGGCCAUGCACCCAACACUCGCCUUCCUCUGUCCUCCCUGCACGCCCCCCUUCCCUGGACUUGGUUCUCAAUCCCAGUACCCUCUAGGCCUGCGGAGGCCCUUUGUCCCACAUGAAGGUUGAGCUGGAGAGAGGGACUCACCUGAGAGCAGGUGCAUUCCCAGAUAACCCCC
rnacentral:lncRNA from 9 species